AUACGGAAGGUCCGGGCGUUAUCCGGAUUUAUUGGGUUUAAAGGGAGCGCAGGCGGAGAUGCAAGCGUGACGUCAAAUUUCGGGGCUCAACCCCGUCUCGCGUCGCGAACUGCGUCCCUUGGUUGCGGGAAGGGGAGGCGGAACUCGUGGUGUAGCGGUGAAAUGCAUAGAUAUCACGAAGAACUCCGAUCGCGAAGGCAGCCUUCCGGCCCGUCAACGACGCUCAUGCUCGAAGGUGCGGGUAUCAAACAGGAUUAGAUACCCUGGUAGUGCGCACAGUAAACGAUGGACACCCGCGGUUUGGCCUGUAUGGCUGAGCCGCCAAGCGAAAGCGUUAAGUGUCCCACCUGGGGAGUACGCCGGCAACGGUGAAACUCAAAUGAAUUGACGGGG
rnacentral:rRNA from 1 species